rnacentral:rRNA from 1 species
UACGGAGGGAGCUAGCGUUAUUCGGAAUUACUGGGCGUAAAGCGCACGUAGGCGGCUUUGUAAGUAAGAGGUGAAAGCCCAGAGCUCAACUCUGGAAUUGCCUUUUAGACUGCAUCGCUUGAAUCAUGGAGAGGUCAGUGGAAUUCCGAGUGUAGAGGUGAAAUUCGUAGAUAUUCGGAAGAACACCAGUGGCGAAGGCAGCUGACUGGACAUGUAUUGACGCUGAGGUGCGAAAGCGUGGGGAGCAAACAGG